UGUCUGGGGAUGGGCCUGCGGCUGAUUAGCUAGUUGGUGAGGGUAAUGGCCCACCAAGGCGAGGAUCAGUAGCUGGCCUGAGAGGGCGGCCGGCCACAUUGGGACUGAGACACGGCCCAGACUCCUACGGGAGGCAGCAGUGAGGAAUCUUCUGCAAUGGGCGCAAGCCUGACAGAGCAACGCCGCGUGGAGGAAUAAGGCCACUCAAGGCUGUAAACUCCUUUGCACGGGCACAGGAAGGCUGACCGCCCGGGAAGCAAGCAUCGGCUAACUCCGUGCCAGCAGCCGCGGUAAUACGGGGGAUGCAAGCGUUAUCCGGAUUUACUGGGCGUAAAGCGUCUGUAGGCGGUUCGGUGUGUCUGUUGUCAAAACGCAGGGCCUAACUCUGUGGGGCAUCUGGAUACUAUCGAACUAGAGGGCGGUAGAGGUGGGGGGAACCCCUCGAGGAGCAGUGAAAUGCUUUGAUACGUGGAGGAAGGCCGGAGGCGAANGCUCCCCACUGGGCCGCACCUGACGCUGAGAGACGAAAGCUAGGGGAGCGAAUGGGAUUAGAUACCCCAGUAGUC
rnacentral:rRNA from 1 species